UGAGGAAUAUUGGUCAAUGGGCGGAAGCCUGAACCAGCCAUGCCGCGUGCGGGAAGGAGGCCCUAUGGGCUGUGAACCGCUUUUGCCUGGGGGCAAUAAGGGCGUCGCGCACGUCCGAUGAGAGUACCAGGCGAAUAAGCAUCGGCUAACUCCGUGCCAGCAGCCGCGGUAAUACGGGGGAUGCGAGCGUUAUCCGGAUUCAUUGGGUUUAAAGGGUGCGUAGGCUGUGCGUCAAGUCGGGGGUGAAAUUCCGGUGCUCAACACCGGGGCUGCCCUUGAUACUGUCGCGCUGGAGUGCGGAUGCCGCCGGAGGAAUGAGUGGUGUAGCGGUGAAAUGCUUAGAUAUCACUCAGAACACCGAUUGCGAAGGCAUCUGGCGAAUCCGUAACUGACGCUGAGG
rnacentral:rRNA from 1 species